GGGUUGUGAGGUUAAGCGACUAAGCGUACACGGUGGAUGCCCUGGCAGUCAGAGGCGAUGAAGGACGUGCUAAUCUGCGAUAAGCGUCGGUAAGGUGAUAUGAACCGUUAUAACCGGCGAUUUCCGAAUGGGGAAACCCAGUGUGUUUCGACACACUAUCAUUAACUGAAUCCAUAGGUUAAUGAGGCGAACCGGGGGAACUGAAACAUCUAAGUACCCCGAGGAAAAGAAAUCAACCGAGAUUCCCCCAGUAGCGGCGAGCGAACGGGGAGCAGCCCAGAGCCUGAAUCAGUGUGUGUGUUAGUGGAAGCGUCUGGAAAGGCGCGCGAUACAGGGUGACAGCCCCGUACACAAAAAUGCACAUGCUGUGAGCUCGAUGAGUAGGGCGGGACACGUGGUAUCCUGUCUGAAUAUGGGGGGACCAUCCUCCAAGGCUAAAUACUCCUGACUGACCGAUAGUGAACCAGUACCGUGAGGGAAAGGCGAAAAGAACCCCGGCGAGGGGAGUGAAAAAGAACCUGAAACCGUGUACGUACAAGCAGUGGGAGCACGCUUAGGCGUGUGACUGCGUACCUUUUGUAUAAUGGGUCAGCGACUUAUAUUCUGUAGCAAGGUUAACCGAAUAGGGGAGCCGAAGGGAAACCGAGUCUUAACUGGGCGUUAAGUUGCAGGGUAUAGACCCGAAACCCGGUGAUCUAGCCAUGGGCAGGUUGAAGGUUGGGUAACACUAACUGGAGGACCGAACCGACUAAUGUUGAAAAAUUAGCGGAUGACUUGUGGCUGGGGGUGAAAGGCCAAUCAAACCGGGAGAUAGCUGGUUCUCCCCGAAAGCUAUUUAGGUAGCGCCUCGUGAAUUCAUCUCCGGGGGUAGAGCACUGUUUCGGCAAGGGGGUCAUCCCGACUUACCAACCCGAUGCAAACUGCGAAUACCGGAGAAUGUUAUCACGGGAGACACACGGCGGGUGCUAACGUCCGUCGUGAAGAGGGAAACAACCCAGACCGCCAGCUAAGGUCCCAAAGUCAUGGUUAAGUGGGAAACGAUGUGGGAAGGCCCAGACAGCCAGGAUGUUGGCUUAGAAGCAGCCAUCAUUUAAAGAAAGCGUAAUAGCUCACUGGUCGAGUCGGCCUGCGCGGAAGAUGUAACGGGGCUAAACCAUGCACCGAAGCUGCGGCAGCGACACUAUGUGUUGUUGGGUAGGGGAGCGUUCUGUAAGCCUGUGAAGGUGUACUGUGAGGUAUGCUGGAGGUAUCAGAAGUGCGAAUGCUGACAUAAGUAACGAUAAAGCGGGUGAAAAGCCCGCUCGCCGGAAGACCAAGGGUUCCUGUCCAACGUUAAUCGGGGCAGGGUGAGUCGACCCCUAAGGCGAGGCCGAAAGGCGUAGUCGAUGGGAAACAGGUUAAUAUUCCUGUACUUGGUGUUACUGCGAAGGGGGGACGGAGAAGGCUAUGUUGGCCGGGCGACGGUUGUCCCGGUUUAAGCGUGUAGGCUGGUUUUCCAGGCAAAUCCGGAAAAUCAAGGCUGAGGCGUGAUGACGAGGCACUACGGUGCUGAAGCAACAAAUGCCCUGCUUCCAGGAAAAGCCUCUAAGCAUCAGGUAACAUCAAAUCGUACCCCAAACCGACACAGGUGGUCAGGUAGAGAAUACCAAGGCGCUUGAGAGAACUCGGGUGAAGGAACUAGGCAAAAUGGUGCCGUAACUUCGGGAGAAGGCACGCUGAUAUGUAGGUGAAGUCCCUCGCGGAUGGAGCUGAAAUCAGUCGAAGAUACCAGCUGGCUGCAACUGUUUAUUAAAAACACAGCACUGUGCAAACACGAAAGUGGACGUAUACGGUGUGACGCCUGCCCGGUGCCGGAAGGUUAAUUGAUGGGGUCAGCGCAAGCGAAGCUCUUGAUCGAAGCCCCGGUAAACGGCGGCCGUAACUAUAACGGUCCUAAGGUAGCGAAAUUCCUUGUCGGGUAAGUUCCGACCUGCACGAAUGGCGUAAUGAUGGCCAGGCUGUCUCCACCCGAGACUCAGUGAAAUUGAACUCGCUGUGAAGAUGCAGUGUACCCGCGGCAAGACGGAAAGACCCCGUGAACCUUUACUAUAGCUUGACACUGAACAUUGAGCCUUGAUGUGUAGGAUAGGUGGGAGGCUUUGAAGUGUGGACGCCAGUCUGCAUGGAGCCGACCUUGAAAUACCACCCUUUAAUGUUUGAUGUUCUAACGUUGACCCGUAAUCCGGGUUGCGGACAGUGUCUGGUGGGUAGUUUGACUGGGGCGGUCUCCUCCUAAAGAGUAACGGAGGAGCACGAAGGUUGGCUAAUCCUGGUCGGACAUCAGGAGGUUAGUGCAAUGGCAUAAGCCAGCUUGACUGCGAGCGUGACGGCGCGAGCAGGUGCGAAAGCAGGUCAUAGUGAUCCGGUGGUUCUGAAUGGAAGGGCCAUCGCUCAACGGAUAAAAGGUACUCCGGGGAUAACAGGCUGAUACCGCCCAAGAGUUCAUAUCGACGGCGGUGUUUGGCACCUCGAUGUCGGCUCAUCACAUCCUGGGGCUGAAGUAGGUCCCAAGGGUAUGGCUGUUCGCCAUUUAAAGUGGUACGCGAGCUGGGUUUAGAACGUCGUGAGACAGUUCGGUCCCUAUCUGCCGUGGGCGCUGGAGAACUGAGGGGGGCUGCUCCUAGUACGAGAGGACCGGAGUGGACGCAUCACUGGUGUUCGGGUUGUCAUGCCAAUGGCACUGCCCGGUAGCUAAAUGCGGAAGAGAUAAGUGCUGAAAGCAUCUAAGCACGAAACUUGCCCCGAGAUGAGUUCUCCCUGACUCCUUGAGAGUCCUGAAGGAACGUUGAAGACGACGACGUUGAUAGGCCGGGUGUGUAAGCGCAGCGAUGCGUUGAGCUAACCGGUACUAAUGAACCGUGAGGCUUAACCUUACAACGCCGAAG
rnacentral:rRNA from 1 species